rnacentral:tRNA from 1 species
GGAUGUAGCUCAGUCGGUUAGAGCAUCGGUUUGUGGUGCCGAGGGUCGCGGGUUCGAAUCCCGUCUUC